UAACCAAGCAGUCAAGUUACUUCUUUACUUAAAUCAUUUCCAUAUAUGGAUAUUUAAGAAAAAAAAAUCAAGAGGGAAAUCAUAUCUUAUAAACAACUCUGCUUUGCCAUUAUGUAAGCAAAUCGAUGACAAAGCAUGAAGCAGUAAGAUUAGAAUCAAAAUCAACCUAAUAUGCUGACUACGCAUGAUGGACAUGACGAAAGAACAUAUAUACCUGUUUCUCGUAUGCAUCACUAACAGGCGACAUAUAGGCCGCAAUAACACGGUAGCCCUCUGAAUGCAAUGCAUCCCUCGCCAGCUCAAGCAUACGCAAGUGCAUGAAGGUUGGAGGAUUGAAACUACCUGGAGCUACAAGAACUACAUUAAUCUUGCGAUCGUCCUGAGUUGUAUGCGAUACGAUAGAUACUUUGUCCAUUGGCAAUUCAAGAUCCAUGGUAAACCAGGAACAGAGGCCAGACAAAUAUGGAAGUGCUUAUCAGUAAGCAACGAACCUCAAAGAGAGAGAGAGAGAGAGAGU
rnacentral:misc_RNA from 1 species